rnacentral:rRNA from 1 species
AGCAGCCGCGGUAAUUCCAGCUCCAAUAGCGUAUAUUAAAGUUGUUGCAGUUAAAAAGCUCGUAGUUGAAUUUCGGGAUCAAGUCGUCGGUCGUGCCUCGGUACGCACUGGUGACAUUGGUUUCUCCCUUCUGAAGAACCUUGAUGUCAUUAAUUUGGUGUCUUGGGGAAUCAGGACUGUUACUUUGAAAAAUUAGAGUGUUUAAAGCAGGCUCACGCUUGAAUACAUUAGCAUGGAAUAAUGAAAUAGGACGUUUGAUUCUAUUUUGUGGUUUCUAGGAUCGACGUAAUGAUUAAUAGGGAUAGUUGGGGGCAUUAGUAUUCAAUUGUCAGAGGUGAAAUUCUUGGAUUUAUUGAAGACUAACUACUGCGAAAGCAUUUGCCAAGGAUGUUUUCAUUAAUCAAGAGCGAAAGUUAGGGGAUCGAAGACGAUCAGAUACCGUCGUAGUCUUAACCAUAAACUAUGCCGACUAGGGAUCGGAUGAUGUUAAUUUUAUGUACUCAUUCGGCUACCG